UGGGGAAUAUUGCACAAUGGGGGAAACCCUGAUGCAGCGACGCCGCGUGAGUGAAGAAGUAUUUCGGUACGUAAAGCUCUAUCAGCAGGGAAGAAAAUGACGGUACCUGACUAAGAAGCCCCGGCUAACUACGUGCCAGCAGCCGCGGUAAUACGUAGGGGGCAAGCGUUAUCCGGAUUUACUGGGUGUAAAGGGAGCGUAGACGGCAGCGCAAGUCUGAAGUGAAAUCCCGGGGCUCAACCCUGGAACUGCUUUGGAAACUGUGCAGCUGGAGUGCAGGAGGGGUAAGCGGAAUUCCUAGUGUAGCGGUGAAAUGCGUAGAUAUUAGGAGGAACACCAGUGGCGAAGGCGGCUUACUGGACUGUAACUGACGUUGAGGCUCGAAAGCGUGGGGAGCAAACAGG
rnacentral:rRNA from 1 species